GAUGAACGCUGGCGGCGUGCCUAAUACAUGCAAGUCGAGCGAACAGAUGAGGAGCUUGCUCCUCUGACGUUAGCGGCGGACGGGUGAGUAACACGUGGAUAACCUACCUCUAAGACUGGGAUAACUUCGGGAAACCGGAGCUAAUACCGGACAAUAUAUUGAACCGCAUGGUUCAGUAGUGAAAGACGGUUUUGCUGUCACUUAUAGAUGGAUCCGCGCCGCAUUAGCUAGUUGGUAAGGUAACGGCUUACCAAGGCAACGAUGCGUAGCCGACCUGAGAGGGUGAUCGGCCACACUGGAACUGAGACACGGUCCAGACUCCUACGGGAGGCAGCAGUAGGGAAUCUUCCGCAAUGGGCGAAAGCCUGACGGAGCAACGCCGCGUGAGUGAUGAAGGUCUUCGGAUCGUAAAACUCUGUUAUUAGGGAAGAACAAAUGUGUAAGUAACUAUGCACGUCUUGACGGUACCUAAUCAGAAAGCCACGGCUAACUACGUG
rnacentral:rRNA from 1 species